GUAGGUGAACCUGCGGAAGGAUCAUUACAGUAGUCACCCAGGUUGCCGCAAGGCCUCCUGGGUAACCUACCACCCUUUGUUUAUUACACUUUGUUGCUUUGGCAAGCCUGCCCUCGGGCUGCUGGCUCCGGCCGGCGAGCGCUUGCCAGAGGACCUAAACUCUGUUUGUCUAUACUGUCUGAGUACUAUAUAAUAGUUAAAACUUUCAACAACGGAUCUCUAGGCUCUU
rnacentral:misc_RNA from 1 species